GUUCCUUUCUGCCUUGGGAAAUGCUUCUUGAUGAUUUUUGCUUAAAUGCAGAUUUCACACUUAUAAUUAUCUUCAUGCUUAUAAGAAAUAUAUUGAUGCUUACACAUAUAAUGCCAAGACUUAAAAUUUAAAUGUGCUAAUCUAGAAUGCCCUAAAGAAGAAUCAAUAAUAUAAGCAAAAUUUGGAGAUACUUUAUUAUCAUCAAGACUGAGUUUGAACAUACCCUUACAAGAAUAAUCUUUUCCAACAAAUACCCCAUUCUUAGACAAAAUCAACUUAUUAGACUCUAGAAUGACCUUAAAGCCAUUCAUACAUAAAAGGCUAGCAAAUACAUGAUUUUUCUUAAUUUCUAUAACAUGCAGUACAGUUAACAAAGUUAGUUUCUUUUCAGAAGUGAAGUGGAGUUCAAC
rnacentral:lncRNA from 1 species